rnacentral:rRNA from 1 species
GUAAGGAAUAUUGGGCAAUGGAGGCAACUCUGACCCAGCCAUGCCGCGUGCAGGAAGAAGGUCCUAUGGAUUGUAAACUGCUUUUGUAACAGAGAAAACCCUCCGACGUGUCGGAGGUUGAUAGUAUGUUAAGAAUAAGCAUCGGCUAACUUCGUGCCAGCAGCCGCGGUAAGACGAAGGAUGCAAGCGUUAUCCGGAUUCAUUGGGUUUAAAGGGUGCGUAGGCGGAUAGGUAAGUCAGUGGUGAAAUCUCUCAGCUUAACUGAGAAACUGCCAUUGAUACUGCUUAUCUUGAGUACAGUCGACGUUGGCGGAAUAUGACAUGUAGCGGUGAAAUGCAUAGAUAUGUCAUAGAACACCGAUUGCGAAGGCAGCUGACGAGAGUGUAACUGACGCUGAGGCACGAAAGUGUGGGGAUCAAACAGGAUUAGAAACCCGAGUAGUCC